AAUCAGUCAAUCUUUAAACUGUAGCAAAAAUGAAAGUAUUUCAAAUAAUAGUUGUAGUGGCUUGCAUUAUUGCUGGCGUUACCUGUGAUCCAGACUACAACUCAGUACGAUUAGGCAAUGGCGUUCAUCUGGUUUCAAGCACGAAUUAGAUGUUGACGACAACUUCAAAUGGACAUUUUCAAACAUAUUUUAUAUUAAAUAAAAUGUCUAAAAUGCUAAAUUAAACAUUUAUUUAACUGUUACUAUGUUGUAGUGAAUAAAAAUUAUAUAAAAGCAAAUAUAAAGAA